AGGGGUGGCAAAGCCGCGAGGCAGAGCAAAUCCCUAAAAGCCAUCCCAGUUCGGAUUGUAGGCUGCAACCCGCCUACAUGAAGUCGGAGUUGCUAGUAAUCGCGGAUCAGAAUGCCGCGGUGAAUGCGUUCCCGGGUCUUGUACACACCGCCCGUCACACCAUGGAAGUUGGGGGCGCCCGAAGUUGCCUAAGAAAUAAGGUACCUAAGGCGAAACCAAUGACUGGGGUGAAGUCGUAACAAGGUAUC
rnacentral:rRNA from 1 species